AGUGGGGAAUAUUGGACAAUGGGGGCAACCCUGAUCCAGCAAUGCCGCGUGUGUGAAGAAGGCCUUCGGGUUGUAAAGCACUUUCAGUAGGGAGGAAAAGCUUGAUGCUAAUACCAUUGAGUCUUGACGUUACUUACAGAAGAAGCACCGGCUAACUCUGUGCCAGCAGCCGCGGUAAUACAGAGGGUGCAAGCGUUAAUCGGAAUUACUGGGCGUAAAGGGCGCGUAGGUGGUUUGGUAAGUUGGAUGUGAAAUCCCCGGGCUCAACCUGGGAAUGGCAUUCAAUACUGCCUCACUAGAGUAUGGUAGAGGGAAGCGGAAUUCCACAUGUAGCGGUGAAAUGCGUAGAUAUGUGGAGGAACAUCAAUGGCGAAGGCAGCUUCCUGGACCAAUACUGACACUGAGGCGCGAAAGCGUGGGUAGCAAACAGGAUUAGAUACCCUGGUAGUCCACGCCCUAAACGAUGAGAACUAGAUGUUGGGAAGUAUAUCUUCUUAGUGUCGCAGCUAACGCG
rnacentral:rRNA from 1 species